UGGGGAAUAUUGCACAAUGGGCGCAAGCCUGAUGCAGCCAUGCCGCGUGUAUGAAGAAGGCCUUCGGGUUGUAAAGUACUUUCAGCCGGGAGGAAGGUGGUAAGGUUAAUAACCUUAUCAAUUGACGUUACCGACAGAAGAAGCACCGGCUAACUCCGUGCCAGCAGCCGCGGUAAUACGGAGGGUGCAAGCGUUAAUCGGAAUUACUGGGCGUAAAGCGCACGCAGGCGGUAUGUAAAGUCAGAUGUGAAAUCCCCGGGCUCAACCUGGUAACUGCAUCGGAUACUGGCAAGCUUGAGUCUCGUAGAGGCAGGUAGAAUUCCAGGUGUAGCGGUGAAAUGCGUAGAGAUCUGGAGGAAUACCGGUGGCGAAGGCGGCCCCCGAGACGAAGACUGACGCUCAGGUGCGAAAGCGUGGGGAGCAAACAGG
rnacentral:rRNA from 1 species